CGGAUACCAUUACAGACUGAUGCCCUGAACCUGAGACUGAUAUAAUUUCUUCCUGGGUGUUUAUAGCAAGGCAGGGGUGAGUGUUGCGGCAUGACAGGUGUUGCAGUUUGGUGCCAUAAGUCAUUGGUUUUGGAACAGCAGCACAGACGGUGACGUCCCUGCCGGUGGCACAGAGGAGGGAGUGUUGAGUGCCCGCCAGAGCCACGGGUCAUCGGCGGCACACACACCCGGGGCAGAGUGUGUGGCAGCAUGGUGGGCGUGAGGAAGGUGCGGCUGUUGCUGGUGCUGGUGGUGCUGGCGGUGGUGCUGGCGAUGGUGCGGUGGGUGGGUCCCAAGCACCGCCUCCUGGCCCGGGGCGGCGGUGGUGGCGGUGGCGGUGGUGUGGAGAGCAGCCCCCCGGCGCGGCAGGACCCCCUGGCAGGGCUGGUGGUCAUCCUGCGGGAGUUUGAGGACUACGACAACGACGUGGCGGAUACGGCGGCCUCGGUGCUGGUGGCCUGCCGGGGCCGCUGCCGCGUGCUGGUGGCCAGUGAUGACCUGGUGUACCCCCCCCUGCGCCUGCCCCCCGGGGCCACCUCCCUGGUGCUGACGCCCAGCCUGAUGCGGAGGCGGCCCAGCCUGGCGGAGCACCUGGCCGGCAGCCGCCACGUGCUGCUGCUGCCGGAUGGGGCGCGGCUGUCCUCGGCGGCCCAGCUGCUGGACCUGCUGGGGCUGCUGGAGGCGGGGGACACGCGGGGCGUGGCCGUGGGGGUGGGCGGGGCGCCGCUGGUGUGCCACCGCUACACGCUGGACCUGCCGGCCUGGACGCUGUCCGUGGCCCCGGCGCCGGGCAGCGAGGCGUGUGAUGCCGUGGCCGGCCGCGCCGCGCUGCUGCUGCCCGCCGCCAGCCUGCUGGAGCUGAGCCUGCCCCUGGCCAGGCCGCUGCCGCUGGCCCUGGGCGUGCAGGGCACGGCACGGGGCUGGAAGGUGCGCGUGGGCCGCGGUGGCCUGCUGGGGGAGGGCCGCCAGCUGCUGGCCACAGAGCACCUGCGCUGGAAGGCAGCGGCGGCGGAGGAGGAGCGGCGCGUGGCUCUCUUCAAGGCCGUGGGGCUGAAGAAGGUGGUGGGGCCAGGCGGGGACGUGCGCUGGUACGGCUGCUCCCGCACCUCCCCGCGCUGCUUCCCCACGGUGGUGCAGGACACCCCGGACUACCUGCUGCGGGGCCGAUGGACGCCGCCCUGCUGCCUGGAGGGGCUGAGGGCCACGGCGCGCCACGUGUUCCAGACGCUGCGCGGCUGCCGGGUGCGCUGGUGGCUGGAGGGCGGCUCCCUGCUGGGGGCGGUGCGCAGCGGGGACCUGCUGCCCUGGGACUACGACGUGGACGUGGGCGUGUACGCCUCCGACGCGGAGCGCUGCCCCCCGCUGAGGGCGGCGCGCUGGCAGACGCUGGAGGACACAGACGGCUUCGUGUGGCAGCGCGCCGCAGAGGGCGGCUUCUACCGCGUGCACUACAGCACCGCCAACCACCUGCACGUGGACGUGUUCCCCUUCACAGCGCGCGGCGGCACCAUGACGCGCGGCGGGGCCUGGAACACCGGCCACCGCCAGGACGUGGACUUCCCUGAGCACUUCUUGCGGCCCAUCGCCUCCGUCAGCUUCGCCGGCGUCAUGGCCGCCGCGCCCAACAAUGUGCGGGACUUCCUGGAGCUAAAGUUUGGCCCCGGCGUGAUAGAGACACCGCAGUACCCAAACCCUGAGGUGCCCCUGCCCGCCAACAUGACCGCCCUCCUGCACAGGUAGUGUGUGUGUGUGUGUGUGUGUGUGUGUGUUGGGGAGGGUGUGUCUCAGUGUGUCCUGUGGUUGUAUUCCUGUGGCCUCAGGGUUCACAUUUUUAUACUCCAGUGUUGCUGAAACAGUGGUGCCAAUACCUGUGUGUUGACAACCCAGGCAGUGUGCUUGGCAGUGCUCAAAGCUACUGUGUGUGUGUGUGUGUGUGUGUGUGUGUGUUCAGAUCUCAGUGUGUGUGUUGUCAUGUGCGUAGUGUCUCAGCAUCUUUGUUAUGCAUUCUCUUGGUCCUUUGCCUCUUGUGGAACACUUGAGCCUCUGUGUCACUAAAGUGUUUGACAUGAGUUCUGUCAAGUGAAGAUAAUUUGACAAGUGUUCUGCUAACGAUCUACUAUAAAAAAAAAAUCUCCUCUCUACUUAUUUUAUGCCAUGGUAAAAUUUUACUCUCUAAGCUCAUAAACUUUCUAAUUCAGUAAAGUUUUUGACACAAGUCCUGUCAAGCGAAGAUAAUUUGACAUUGAGAGUUUUUGACAAGUGUCCUACAAAUGUUCUACCUCUGCCAUGGUAAAAUUUGACGUUCUGGGCACGUAAACUUUCAGGUUCAGUAAAGUUUUUGACACAAGUCCUGAUGUUGAAGUGAUCAGCUGGACAGGAAAGUGAGCAUGGAACACCUCUUGUCUACCUCCCCUGUUACCAUCCAAUAUGUGUGUGUCUGUAAGGUUGUGGUGGUGGUGGUGGUGAUAUGGGUUGACUGUAGUGGUUGUUACGAUGGUGCUAGUAUGGUUGAAUAGUGUGUUAUAUGGUUGACAGUGAGCCUUUGCUGGGGCAGGAUGGAGUACACUAACACCAGACAGAGGACCAGGUGGAGAGGUGGAAUUAGAACCUUUGCCGGGGCAGGAUGGAGUACACUAACACCAGACAGAGGACCAGGUGGAGAGGUGGAAUUAGAACCUUUGUCGGGGCAGGAUGGAGCACACUAACACCAGACAGAGGACCAGGUGGAGAGGUGGAAUUAGAACCUUUGUCGGGGCAGGAUGGAGCACACUAACACCAGACAGAGGACCAGGUGGAGAGGUGGAAUUAGAACCUUUGUCGGGGCAGGAUGGAGCACACUAACACCAGACAGAGGACAAGGCGGAGAGGUGAAAUCAGAACUUUUGACGGGACAGGAUGGAGUACACUAACACUAGACAGAGGACCAGGCGGAGAGGUGAAAUCAGAACUUUUGACGGGACAGGAUGGAGUACACUAACACCAGACAGAGGACCAGGUGGAGAAGGAGGAAGGGGAGGAGGAGGAGGAAGAGGUCACAAAAUCAGAAAGGAAAGAUUAGCAUCAUUCCCAUUACUAUAUUGUGUAGGCAAGCGAGCAUAGUAUAGGAGUCGUUUCAUAUUAUUUCCAUUCUUAUUUAUAUAUAUAUCGUGUGCCAUCUGUUGCAUAAGGAACCACUAAUCAUAUCUCGUGUCCUGUGGCUUCCUUGAUGACGAAAUCCUACCCCAAAAAACUACUACUGUUGCCCACUGUUAGUACUUUAAACACUAAUAGAAAUCGGACCUUCGUGUAGGCUCCUGUAUCUGCUUGUACGAGAGAGUGAGAGAUAAGGAGAGAGUAAGGUUGUGUGUGUAUGUGUGUGUGUGUGUGUGUGUGUGUGUGUGUGUUUUGAUGUCAGGUUAAAAUACAUGUACGUCGUUUCUAGCGCAUUUUCUUUCGUGUUUUGUGAUACUUUUUAUAACGUAACAAUGAAAACAAAGAGCAAUAUACGUGUACUGUUUGUGUGUCACGACGAGAGGAGAGAAGGAAGGGUUGUACGGCCAUAUUCUCAGCUGUUUCCGCGCCUCACAUCAACUGUUUCCAAAGGCCAAAGAGGAGGUCAGUUGGAUUCUAAUGAGUGUUUCUCUAGGUUCGCUGUACAGAGGAAGGGUCAAACUACCACCAGGGUCAUGAAGCUACCCCUGGAAAUGACCCAAACUUCUACGAAACCAUUGUUAAAAUCUUUCGUGAGAGUUGUGGCAAUUUCCAGGGGUAGUUUUGUGACCCUGGUGGUGGUGUGACCCUUCUUCUGUACCAUGAACCUAAGAAACACACAUUUGACAAAGCUUCCAUAAUAGUUUUGGGCAUUUCCAGGAGUAGUUUCAUGACCCUGGUGGUAGUUUGACCCUUCCUCUGUACCAUGAACCGUAGAAUGUGUGAGUUUUGGCACUAGUGUUUAACCCAGUAGCAGCAUGGAUCAUGUUUCUUAAUGGUCCCUCCAAGCGAAAAAAAUGAGAAAAAAUCACCCUUCACACAAACCAUUUCAUAAUAUAUAUCAAAGCAUUUGUGAUCAGAUUAUGUAUCAUAUAUUUUGGGGGGUUUAUAUCAUGGCACAAAUUUGGCCCACCGCUGCUACACGAAGCCACAAAUUUGGCCCGUCGCUGCAACACAGUGAAGCCACAAAUUUGGUCCGUCGCUGCAACACAGUGAAGCCACAAAUUUGGUCCGUCGCUGCUACCAGGUUAACAAGGCUUUCAUAGGAGUUUUGGGCAUUUCCAGGGGUAGUUUCAUGACCCUGGUGAUAGUUUGACGCUUCCUCUGUACCUUGGACCUUAGAAUGUGAGUUUUGGUGCCAGUGUUCAAGAAUGUGGGGUCAGGCAGGAUGGGUCAGUCUCUCUCUCGUCAACACAAACACUGAGCCAAAUAGUAAGUUAGUCUGCCCUGAGAAGCUUUACUGUGUGUUAGUGUGUAUGUGAGGUGGUCUUGUGGAGAAGCUUGAUCCUCUCUCUGUCUCAUGUUAAUUAUUAUUAUUAUUUUUUUUUCCUCUCCUUCCUUCCUCCUUCCCUCCCUCCUCCCUUUCCUUCUCUCCUUCAUUUAUUUCUUUUUCUUUUUCUGUUUUUCCUUCUUCCUUUCCUUCCUUCCUUCCUUCCUCUCUCCACAUCUUUUUCUCUCUUCCUCUCCCUCCUUCCUUUCUUCCUUCCUUCCUUCCUCCCUCCUUCAUUUCAUUUUCUCUCUCUCCCUCCUUCCUUCUUUUCUCUCUCCUCCAUUUCGUUUGCUCUAUAUUUUUUGCAGUUUCUUUUUCUUUUCACUUCCUUCCUUCCUUCCUUCCUUCCUUCCACAGUCUCUCCUAUAUCUCUUCCAUUAUUUCCGCCGUCCGAGCAAGGUCAACAUUUACACAAGACGGACUUCCCAGACAUUAUAUAUAAAUCGUGUGUAGUGUUUCCCCUCUCGGCCUCAAGCUUUCUGCCUCCCCUGAGCGGCCAAAUCAUGCUCUUAGCUAAGAGACCUGAGCUUCCUUAGGUGCUGUAGGUUGAUGUAUUUCCUAGGAGUUCAUUGAUUCAAAACUACGCCAUCGAAAGACAAUAUUCCCGUGUCCUUGUCCGAUAAAUACUUCUUCCGUGUAACUAUUGAGGUAUGUUGGGAGGUAGGAGGAGGGAGGUACUUCUGUGGGUAUGAAUGUAGGUCAAGGAAGGAAGGAAGGUAGGGAGGUAGAUUGGUUAGCGAGGUUAGGUUGUGAUCUGAUGGCAGUAAAUAAUUGACUUAGACGCUUCUAGAGACUGAGUUUGCUGAAAGACUUGAGUAGACAUUGACUUGGUAGCUAUAGACUGAAGGGGCUGGUGAAGUAGCUGAGGUUAGGUUAGGUUAGGUUAGGUUAGGAAGACUUGGGGAUAUGUUGAAACUUUUUAAUGCAGAGAAUGGUUGGUUAGGUUAGGUUAGGUGAAGGGGAUAUGUUGAAACUUUUUAAUAAGGAAGAGAUGCAGAGAAUGGUUGGUUAGGUUAGGUUAGGUGAAGGGGAUAUGUUGAAACUUUUAUGUAAGGAAGAGAUGCAGAGAAUGGUUGGUUAGGUUAGGUUAGGUGAAGGGGAUAUGUUGAAACUUUUAUGUAAGGAAGAGAUGCAGAGAAUGGUUGGUUAGGUUAGGUUAGGUGAAGGGGAUAUGUUGAAACUUUUUAAUAAGGAAGAGAUGCAGAGAAUGGUUGGUUAGGUUAGGUUAGGUGAAGGGGAUAUGUUGAAACUUUUAUGUAAGGAAGAGAUGCAGAGAAUGGUUGGUUAGGUUGUGAUCUGAUGCCCUUGAAUGAUUGACCUACUACCUCCCUCUUACCUCCCUUCCCUUGCAAUCUCUUCUUGUCUUCUUUCAUAUCGGCUAAAAAGUGUUGCUUCAAAAUUCGCUUGGUAAAAAUUGUCAUCUGGUCAUCACUUGCUAACAUUGUGAAACCCAUCCCUCCCUCGCUCCCUUCCUUCCUUCCUCCCUCCCUUCCUUCCUUCCUUCCUUCCUUCCUUCCCUCCCUCCCUCCCUUCCUCCCUUCCUUCCUUCCUUCCUUCCUCCCUUCCCUUGCAAACUUCUCUUGUCUUAUUCGAUAUUGACUAAAAAAUGUUGUUUAAAAAUUCGCCAUAAAGCUUGUCAUCGGGUCAUCAUUUGAAACCUUAUGUAACCCCUUCCUUCCUUCCUUCCUUCCUUCCCUUUCAAACUUCUGUUGUCUUAUUCGAUAUUGACUAAAAAAUGUUGUUUAAAAAUUCGCCCGGUAAAGCUUGUCAUCGGGUCAUCAUUUGAAACCUUAUGUAACCCCUUCCUUCCUUCCUUCCUUCCCUUUCAAACUUCUGUUGUCUUAUUCGAUAUUGACUAAAAAAUGUUGUUUAAAAAUUUGCCCGGUAAAGCUUGUCAUCAGGUCAUCAUUUGAAACCUUAUGUAACCCCUUCCUUCCUUCCUUCCUUCUUUCCUCCCUCCCUUUCUUCCUUCCUUCCUUCCUCCCUUCCUUUGCAAACUUCUCUUGUCUUAUUCGAUAUCGACUAAAAAAUGUUGUUUAAAAAUUCGCCCGGUAAAGCUUGUCAUCGGGUCAUCAUUUGAAACCUUAUGUAACCCCUUCCUUCCUUCCUUCCUUCUUUCCUUCCUCCCUUCCCUUUGCAAACUUCUCUUGUCUUAUUUGAUAUCGACUAAAAAAUGUUGUUUAAAAAUUCACCCGGUAAAGUUUGUCAUCGGGUCAUCAUUUGAAACCUUAUGUAACCUCUUCCUUCCUUCCUUCCUUCCUUCCUUCCUUCCUUCCCUUGCAAACUUCUCUUGUCUUAUUCGAUAUCAACUAAAAAUUGUUGUUUAAAAAUUCGCCCGGUAAAGCUUGUCAUCGGGUCAUCAUUUGAAACCUUAUGUAACUCCUUCCUUCCUUCCUUCCUCCCUCCUUCCCUCCCUCCUCCCUCCUCCCCCUGAGUAAUAAGUGCCAUCAGUAGAGGCCUCCGCUUGUAGUGUCUCAUAAGCACGUCGACGCUUCUGUGUUUGUCAUCGGCGGUGAUCGAGGUGGAGCGAGUCGGCCGUCUGUAUCCACCGCCAUGCUAGUGAUGCUCAAUAAAAAAAUGUCAUGCA